UCCUUUUCCGGUGGGUGGGGCCACAGGGGAGGGGCUGGGGGCAGAGUUAUGGACCCUUAGGGGGCGUAGUUUGUUUGCCCCCACUAUCUUCUCUCCCCCCUUCCUCUCUCCUCCAUCCUGCCGAAAAAGAAAGGACAGGAAAGGAAAAUGAUGGGAGGAGGAGCGGAAAGAAAGAAGGGGAGGGAAAAGACGAUUUCUUCAGUAUUUCUUCUAUCGAUUACUUCUUCUUCUUCUAGUUCUUCUUCUUGGACAUUGCAGCUUGGUUCUUCUGUUGCAUUCGCUCAAGCCUCUGUUAAUCCGUUAUGAUGCAUGAAGGAAUUUAACAACAAAAAAAUACCUAGAGAGAAAAUCUACUGUUGGGGAUAUGGGGGCAUAUUGGGUUUAUAGAACAUUUACAUUUUAGAUUUUGAUUGAAGAAGUUCUCUUUUUCUGACUCUCUCUCUCUCUCUCUCUGACUCUGUCUAUCAUCAUGCGUUUGUUUAUUGAGUAAAUGUUUGUUCUAUAUCACCCUAAGGAUCCGAUGGACAACCUUUUUUAAGUUUGAUUUCCACCCAAUAGGGUUUUAAAGCUACCAUUUUCUUAUCUUGAAAGUACUCCUAUGUUCCUGAGAUACUCCUAAAUUUUACUAAGAUACUCCUGUUGUACUAAGAUAUUCCUGAGUUGUUUUGAGGAAUAAGUAAGAAUUGAGAGAGCUAUGAGGAGAGAAAACUUCAACCUCUUUAAAUAAUUGAUUUGUAUUGUUAAUAAUGAUGAUAGUCCUAUAAAUACUGAUAUCAAUGUCAAUGCUAAACGAUGAAUGAUGAUAGUUGUUUGCCGUAGAUCUGUUGUCAUGUUUUUUGGAGUUUCAAUCUGCUGUGUCAUCUAGUUUUCAUCGUUUAUUUUCCUUGGGUUCUGUUCAAACUGUUCCCAAACUGUUCCCAAACUGCUCCCAAACUGUUCCAAAACGCCUUUAACCGGGUCCGAUACAUGCAACACGCAUAAACUUUUCAGGGAGGGGUUAGAUGUCGGAUUGUGAUUGUGAGCAACACAGAUAGAACUGUGUAGCGUUGUGUAACGCAGCUCUUUACCUCUGAUAGGUCCCCCCUCAGUGGUAGACAGAGAACCGGGGCCACGUUCAGUAGCCAAAUGUUGUCAAACGUUGCAGAUAGAAAUGUCAUUAACAGAGCCGACAUGGUUCUUCAUUCUACGUGUAAGAGACGCAUGUUUGUUCUAAAUAGCAUUUUUCUAUCCGAGCGUUCCAAAAACAUUGUGUCCUACUGAGUGCGCCCCAGUCAUAGCCAAAUCAACCGGCCAACCAACCAACCGUCAGACCUCCACACAGUAUCUGAUUUACAGCUGGCUGUGAACCAUAGAGUUAGAAAGAGGACUUAUAUCGGGUUAUAUCCACCUAGAGCCCUCUUUCUACCUCUAUGUUGUGAACGAGCUCCACCUCACAUCCCCAAGAGCUCUCCACUAGCUGUCUAGUCUCUCUGUCUUUCUGAUUCUCCAUCACAUGUUUAGCAUUGAGCUGCUUGCUUUACCAAGCCAGAGGAGAACAUUCUAGAAACAUUUUAGAAUCUCUAAGACGUUCUAGAAACUCUAGUCUAGACUCUAGAAACUCUAGUACAUUCUAGAGCAUUCUUUAGAGAGGUUAGCUAACAUGAUUGUAUCCAGAUGUUUUGGAUUAAAACAUAUUUAUUUUGCUAUGAUUACAAUUAUGUAGAUUGUAACAGAUAUUCCCUAUCAUAACUCGUAAAAUGAUAGAUACAAUAUAGAUAUAUAGAGAUAUAAAAGUUUAUAUAUUAUAGAGAGAAAAACGUACUUUUAUUUACUUCAAACACUCUAGCUACGAAGCUAGAGCUCAGAAACUCUCCAUUGAAAUCAGCUACACAGAUUCAAAUUGCACUUUGUCACUGUAGCUCCACACAAUAUCCCACUACAAACUCUAUGCAGAUCUAUCCAACAUUCAUUUCUCCUUUACCAUUAUAGUGCAGAGUAGUUGUGCCAUUAUAAAUAAAUGACAAUACGUAAGUGAGCGCAUAGAAAUGGAAUGUGUAGAACAGGCCUCCCAAUUCAAGUCAAUGAUGGCAUAUCUAUAGAUUAUAUUUCUAUGGGUCAGAUGGUGUAGUGUCAGAUAGUGUAUAUACAACAUUUUAAUAUAGAUGGAUAGAAGUAUAUAGAUAGAGGGUAUGCCCACAUCGUUUUGCUUUUGCACAAUCACUCACAAAAUCCUUAUCCUUCAUAGCACAUCUUUCCUUUAUUUUUUACCCUCCUGCAGUGUUUUGUCCUCUCCUGCUCCCUCUAUCGUUCUCCCAAGCUGUCCAAUCCCAUAUACCACCCCUGCCCUCCGUAUAGGUAGGUCCAGAGAGAGAGAGGGGGGGCCUACAUAUACCACCCCUGCCCUCCGUAUAGGUAGGUGCAGAGAGAGAGAGGGGGGGCCUACAUAUACCACCCCUGCCCUCCGUAUAGGUAGGUCCAGAGAGAGAGAGGGGGGGCCUACAUAUACCACCCCUGCCCUCCGUAUAGGUAGGUGCAGAGAGAGAGAGGAGGGGCCUACAUAUACCACCCCUGCCCUCCAUAUAGGUAGGUCCAGAGAGAGAGAGGGGGGGCCUACAUAUACCACCCCUGCCCUCCGUAUGGGGGGGCCUACAGAGAGAGAGGGGGGGGCUACAUAUACCACCCCUGCCCUCCGUAUAGGUAGGUCCAGAGAGAGGGGGGGGCUACAUCUACCACCCCUGCCCUCCGUAUAGGUAGGUCCAGAGAGAGGGGGGGGCCUACAUAUACCACCCCUGCCCUCCAUAUAGGUAGGUCCAGAGAGAGAGAGGGGGGGCCUACAUAUACCACCCCUGCCCUCCGUAUAGGUAGGUCCAGAGAGAGGGGGGGGGGGCCUACAUAUACCACCCCUGCCCUCCGUAUAGGUAGGUCCAGAGAGAGAGGGGGGGCCUACAUAUACCACCCCUGCCCUCCGUAUAGGUAGGUCCAGAGAGAGGGGGGGGCUACAUAUACCACCCCUGCCCUCCGUAUAGGUAGGUCCAGAGAGGGGGGGGCUACAUAUACCACCCCUGCCCUCCGUAUAGGUAGGUCCUGAGAGAGAGGGGGGGCUACAUAUACCACCCCUGCCCUCCGUAUAGGUAGGUCCAGAGAGAGGGGGGGGGGCUACAUAUACCACCCCUGCCCUCCGUAUAGGUAGGUCCAGAGAGAGAGGGGGGGCCUACAUAUACCACCCCUGCCCUCCGUAUAGGUAGGUCCAGAGAGGGGGGGCUACAUAUACCACCCCUGCCCUCCGUAUAGGUAGGUCCAGAGAGGGGGGGGGUCCUACAUAUACCACCCCUGCCCUCUGUAUAGGUAGGUCCAGAGAGAGCGGGGGGCCUACAUAUACCACCCCUGCCCUCUGUAUAGGUAGGUCCAGAGAGAGGGGGGGGGACCUACAUCAGAGUGGUGUACCUACAUCAGAGAGGUGUUUAUCUACCCAGAAGCCCCAGUGCCUCAGUGCCUUCUGUUUUCAGAGUCACAUCUACCCUUCCCAGCUUGCCCCUCACCAUCCCCCUCGCCCCCUCCUGUGGUUGAUCAACAUCAAACACACUACGCCUUAAAGAGUCCUAGUCGCUGUCUGUGAGCAGGUAGCAGUUGGGAGCAAGGCAGUAGGGACUGGGCUUUGCUUAGUUGGUUGGAACAGUGAGUAAAGCGCAGGAAGAGAGGGGAAUGGAAACUACUUUUGGGGAUCUCCUUCGCCCAGUUUCACACAGUGUAGUGAGAUACUGUAAUUGCAGGGGCGAAAAGGCAAUGAUUUGUUUACUUCUCAGGUGUCUCUAGAGAUAGAUAGCUAGAUAGAUAGAAUCUACACUAUAUAAUAGGCACGCUAAGGCAGUUAGUCAGUUAUAUCAUAUAAUAUGAUAUAAAUUUAUAAAAUCACAUGAAAAAAUAUAGGCCUAGGGUUUGAGUUUCUGUAUGGUUUGUUAUCUGGCAUGGGCAUUUGUAAUGUCUUCCCUUCUUCCCUUAACCUCCAUUACAGACCACCUACCAUUCAUCAUGAAUCUGCCGCUGAAAACUACUUGCACUUGACACUGUGGGUGUCCACUUAUCAGGCAGGAAACUGAUUACUCCAUUUCGGCUCAACAACACCAACAUGCUUGUCCAGAAUUGUAACUGCGGAUCCAAAAUGGCCGACAUCGACACACAACACUGCCGUUGAAUUAAAGCAUGUUGUGUGGAUUGUGAGCUCCAACCAUUAUAAAAUGAAUGACCAUUUUAAGGGGUUUAUUUUGUUUAUAAAAAAAAAAAUAAUCCAGAAGAUUUGUGAAAAGGAGGAUUUACGAAGUUUCUAGUUUACUCUCAAUCAUUCAUCCAUCCUACGUUCCUAUCCAUUUAUUUGUUGUCUUUCCUUUCUAUUUCUGAUGUGACUUCUUGAUCGACUCAUCCGUUUGUCUCUCGUUCUCUCUAUCAUUUUUUCCUCCUCUUUGAGACAACAGACGUCCUCCGAAAGCCAAUCCAACCCCAUUCACUCAAUCAAUCAACUGUUGUGCGUUUGUGAAAUGAUGUAAAUGAUUGGUGUGUGAGGCUAGUGUGUGUUGAAACAGAAAUAAGGGCUCUCCUAACAAACUAAAGGGGUUUCAUGUGCAGGUACAGUAGUGCUGACAAAAGUCAUCUGUAUGUAUCUCAAACCAUACAGUGGUGUGGUCUCCCCUUGUACAGCACUAGGUGUGUGCAUGCGUGUGUGUUGGGGUCAAAGGGUUAGAGGUCAAAGGUCA
rnacentral:lncRNA from 1 species